rnacentral:rRNA from 1 species
CCGCCGCGGGAAUACGAAGGGUGCAAGCGUUAAUCGGAAUUACUGGGCGUAAAGCGUGCGUAGGCGGUUUGUUAAGUCUGCUGUGAAAUCCCCGGGCUCAACCUGGGAAUGGCAGUGGAUACUGGCAAGCUAGAGUGUGUCAGAGGAUGGUGGAAUUCCCGGUGUAGCGGUGAAAUGCGUAGAGAUCGGGAGGAACAUCAGUGGCGAAGGCGGCCAUCUGGGACAACACUGACGCUGAGGCACGAAAGCGUGGGGAGCAAACAGGAUUAGAUACCCGUGUAGUCCCUGUCUCUUAUACACA